rnacentral:lncRNA from 1 species
UUUUUUUUUUUUUUUUUUUUUUUGNCACCUGCAGCAUAUGGAAGAUCCCUGGCUAGGGGUCAAAUCAGAGUUGCAGUUGCCAGCCUAUUCCACAGCCACAGCAACACGGAACCUAAGCCAUAUCUGUGAUCUACACCACAGCUUGCAGCAAUGACACAUCCUUAAUCCACUGAUUGAGGUCAGGGAUGGAACCUGCAUCCUCAUGGAUACUAGUUGGGUUCAUAACUUACUGAGCCACAUCAGGAACUCCUAAAAGUCAGUAUUCUUAAAGUGAAAAUUUUAAACAUGCCAAGCAUUAAAUGCCUGUCUAGAAGUCUUUUUUUGGCUGUGCCCUUGGCAUGCAGAAGUUCCUGGGCCAGGGCUCAAACCUGAGCCACAACAGUGACAACACCAAAAGCUGAACUGGAUUUCCCUUGUGGUGCAGUGGCCUAAGGAUCCGGCAUCAUCGCUGCAGUGGUUCUGGUCACUGCUGUGGCUUGGGUUUGAUCCCCGGCCCAGGAAAUUCCACACGCCAAGGACACAGCCAAAAAAAUACAAAACUCCACCAAUGUAUAGUCUUAAUCUUUGUUUCAUAACAGAUAUUCUAGUUGUAUAAAAAAAUUUCUUUCAUUUGCAUUAACAUCAGUUGAAUUGCUAAAAAUUUGUCCAAAAACAUCUUUAAGUUAGGCAUUAGAGUACACACUGCUCCAGACAAACUCAUUUCCCCUUUAACAAUGAAAACAUUUUUUUUUUUUUUUGUCUUUUUGCUAUUUCUUUGGGGCUGCUCCCACGGCAUAUGGAGGUUCCCAGGCUAGGGGUUGAAUCGGAGCUGUAGCCGCCGGCCUACACCAGAGCCACAGCAACGCGGGAUCCGAAGUGCGUCUGCAAUCUACACCACAGCUCACAGCAACACCGGAUCAUUAACCCACUGAGCAAGGGCAGGGACCGAACCCGCAACCUCAUGGUUCCUAGUUGGAUUCGUUAACCACUGCACCACGACGGGAACUCCAACAAUGAAAACAUUUUAACCUGCUUGCCCUGCUUUUGGUUUUACUGUUGAAAUUGGUAUUACUUUUGCAAAUCUGGAUUUUAGAUCAGUUUCUGAUUUCAAGUUAGUACAUUCUACAAAUAUUCACAUCUCCUCUCUUUGCAUUUCUUCUACUGAAGUGUUUAUAUAUGACCGCUGUGACUCACAAUGAAUAUUCAGGCGCUUAAAAACAUCAGCCUUGGAGUUCCCAUCGUGGCAUAGUGGAAAUGAGUCAGACUAGGAACCAUGUGGUUGUGGGUUUGAUCCCUGGCCUUGUUCAGUGGGUUAAGGAUCCAACGUUGCCAUGAGCUGUGGUGUAGAUCACAGAUGCGGCUUGAUCUGGCAUUGCUGUGGCUGUGGCGUGGGCCAGUGGCUACAGCUCCGAUUCGACCCCAGCCUGGGAACCUCCAUAUGCUGUGGGUGCAGCCCUAAAAAGACUAAAUAAAUAAAUAAAUAUAAGAAAAAAUAAAAAUAAAAAGUGGAAUAUUUGGAUUUCCAGGCAUGAUAGAGAAGCCCAGGUUGAAACUGCCAAUUUAAGGGCUUACUUUUCUGAUACUCUGCUGUAUAGCAUAGGGAACUAUAUCUAGUCACUUGUGAUGGAAGAUGGUAGAGGAUAAUGUCAGAAAAAGAAUAUAUAUAUAUGUGUGUGUGUGUGUGACUGGGUUACUUUGCUGCUGUACAGCAGAAAUUGACAAACAUUAUAAUGUUAUAAAUCAACUAUAAUAAAACAUUUUUUUAAAAUUAAAAACAAAACAAAAAGGACUUACUUUGCCUCAAAAACCUGUUAUUUCUUGGAUCACCACUCAAUGAAUUUCAAUAAAUUAUCUCAACUUAUUAGUAUUCAUUUUAUUUGCAAGAAUGCUUGCUGUUCGCAGCAGACAGAACCCCAAACGCACACUUAUGACACGGCAGAGAAGGUAAAUUGACAUGGAUGGGUUCGUGCUAUGCUCUGGAUUAAGUAAACACUAUCAAGAUCGCACAACCCAUUUGAACAGUCUCAAUGCUGUCCAGCAUCUUUUGGUUGACAAAAUAAUAGUCUGAGUGGAACACAAGGUGGGCAUUAGAAAUUUAGAGGGAUGCAAGAUCAGAAAGUAAGGCGGGGAGUGAGGAAGCUCAGAAAGGAUGGAGAGCUACAAGCUUAUUUUCACCCAUGAGGAACAAGUAGGGAAAGAAAAAGCAGUCAGGGCAUAUUGAUGAGACCGGACAACCCUCGAAACAUUCGUUUUCUGGUAGGAUUGCAUCAACACUUGUUUGGGUAACUUUCUGUCAUCACUGGGAAACCUGUGGGACUUUCUCCUCCAAGAUGAAGCAGGCCCAUACACUUGCCACUUUCACUUGUUCCUUGGUGGCUGUGGCUGUGUGCAGUCUGCAGUUGGCUGCUACAGGGCCCUCCGAUGGCAUUAAUAUAGUGGGAAGAUAUCCGUGUACACAGAUUAUUUGUGUACAUGGUCUCAUAUUUGCCAGUUGACUUGAUUCAGUUUCAUACUUGGAUCUUUCUCUUCUAUGCUCUCUAUUUCAUUCCUUGAAUAAGCCAAACCUUUCUGUAAGCUGAGACUUUGGUAAAGUCCCUUCCUUGCCAGUUUACCCUGACUUUGUACCCACAUUUCAAAGCUGAGCUAUUCUUACUCCUUUGAUUACUGGAGUUGCCAAAUCCCUUUUUGUCUAGGCUACUGGUUUCAUGUAGAAGCUUCUCCUCACCUACUUCAUCCAAAUGUGGUUGCUAUAUAAAUAAAGGCACAUACAUACAAUGAAUUAUGAUAUAGCCUGAAUAAAGAGUGAUGUAGAUCUAUUUAUACACUGAUAUGGAUUAUUAGGUUAAAAGGAAAAAGUCACCAAAGUCACCAAACAUUUGGAGAGAGUGUGUGUGUGUGUGUAUGCAUAUUUAUAAUUGCAUAGAAAUAGUUCUGGAAGGAUACACUUUUUUUGGCUGCGCCCAAAACACAUAGAAAUUGCAGGGAUCAAACCUGCACCAGAGCAGUGACCAGAGCCACAGUAGUGACAAUGCCAGAUCCUUAAUUCACUGAGCCACCAGGGAACUCCUGGAAGGAUAAAUUCUAAACUCUUGACUCCUGGAUUGGAAUACAUAUGCACAUACAUACAUACAUACAUACACAUAUAUAAUAUAUAUAUAUUUUUUGGAGUUCCCAUGGUGGUGCAGUGGAAACCAAUCCGACUAGUAUCCAUGAGGAUGCAGGUUCGAUCCCUGGCCUCGUUCAGUGGGUUAAGUGGGCAUUGCCAUGAGCUGUGGUGUAGGUCACAGAUGUGCCUCAGAUCCUGAGUUGCUAUGGCCUAGGCCAGCAGCUAUAGCUCCGAUUUGACCCCUAGCCUGGGAACUUCCAUAUGCCACAGGUGUGGCCCUAAAAAAACAAACAAAAAUUCAAACUGGAGUUUGCUCUAUGGGGCAGGGGUUGAGAAUCCUGCCCCACAGAGCAGGAUUGUGUUGUCUUUGUGGUGGCGCAGUUUUGAUCCCUGGCUGAGGGCAGUGGGUUGGGGAUCCUGCGUUGGCGCAGCUGCGGCUCAGAUUCAGUCCCUGGCCUGGGAACUUCCAUGUACCACCAGUGGGGCCAAAAAAAAUUUUUUCGUUUCAAACAUACAGAAAAGUUGGAACACCUGAAGAUCCACCACCUAGAUUCAGCAAUUACUAACAUUUUACCAUAUUCACAUAAUAAGUAAUAAAAAUAAAUAAAUGCUAAACCAUUGGAAACUUCAUUCCUAAAUAUUUAAGCACUUAAUUCCUGAGAAUGACAUUCUCUUACAUAGUCACAAUGCCAUGAUUAAACAUAAAAAUUAAUACUAAUCCCUUUUAAUCAUCUAAUAGCUACUCCAUGUAAAAAUCAUCCCCCCCAAAGGAGUUCCCUGGUGGCACAGUGAGUUAAGGAUCAAGCAUUGUCACUGCUGAGGCUCUGGUCACUGCUGUCGUGUGAGUUUGAUUUCUGGCCAGGGAACUUCUGCGUGCUGUAGGUGGGGCCAAAAAAAAAGGAUCCAAAUUUCCCCAAAACAUCUUUCCCGGGUGGUUUUUCUCCAACCCCAGAUCCAGUCCAGGCUCGUGUAUUGCACCUGAUUGUAAUGGUAUGUACUGUGAG